GCACACAAAUAUCUUCUCUACGCAUCUCAUUUCUCUCUCGCAUCUCAUUAUUAACUUCCCUCUCCCUUUCCCCUUGCUCUCUCAAUUUUCACAGAAAACACUCUGCUCUCCAUUCUCGCACAACACACAGCACACAGGCACUCUCGCUUUCCUCUUUCUCUCUCUAUUCCCGCAGACCACUUCACACACAGGCAGCCGUCCAGGCAUUGUCGCGCUUCCCUCUCCCUCUCGCUUUCGUCUUCCUCUCUCCGUUCUCGGAGCACACCCAGGCACACAGCCAGCCCCUUGCGCGAAGGCACACACAAACAGGAGCAUCGUGUUCGGUUGAAGUUGGUUUUCUCCCUGCAGCCACCCAGUUCGCGUCGUCCCAAAGGUUGGAAUGGCGAGUGAGGAUGAUGCAGUUAAGAAUGCAAUGAUAGUUGAUGCUCGGGCUAGAAACAUUAGUCACAAUGUGAGGUGCACGGAGUGUGGGAGUCAAUCCAUUGAGGAUUCUCAAGCAGACAUUGCCAUUUUGCUCAGAAAGUUAAUUCGUGAUGAAAUUCGGGAUGGAAAGAGUGACAAGCAAAUCUACAAAAAGCUUGAGGACGAUUUUGGAGAGACUGUACUCUAUACGCCCAAGUUUGAUAUGCAGACAGCAGCUUUGUGGUUAUCACCUGUCUUAAUUGGUGCUGUAGCUGCAGGAGGAUGGGUUUACAAGAAGCAUAAACAAAAGACUAAUGUCCAUAUCAUGGCUCUGGAUCUUGUUAGAGGUGUUUCAUUGACUCCAAAAGAGAAGGAAACAAUGCUUGAUAUUCUUACGCCACCUCCUUCACAGGGAGCUAGAACACCCUUCUGGUGGAGGAGAUGACAAGGUCAAUGAUCACGUUGACCAUCUACUAUUAUGACUUGAAGAAAACCUUUGAUGUGGUACAUGUUUGUGACUAUAAGAUGUCCUCUUAAAAGAUUUUCUCUGCCCCCUACGUGGACCUGGGUGCUAGCAAAUCAAAGAGUGCAAACUUGUUCCAAGGCUCGCUAGUGCCGGGCAGCCAAGACUCAGCGGGGUGCCACUCCUAAUUCUGCACCUAGUGCUUGUCGACAUUUCAUUGGUGCUGGGUGCCAGCUUCUCAUAGAGCAUGACUAGUUCUAGGCGCCCAGCUAUGGAGGACGUGCAUUGAGUGAUAGAUAUGUUGAUGUGACAAUUUUUGUCCUAGUUCUUCCUGUUGCUUGAAGGAAACUGAUCUUUGGAGGUUUGUAUGUUUUCUCAUUUUGUAAGUUUGGACUCUCCAUGACAAUGGAGAGCUAAACCCAUUUUGUUGGGGAUAGAUGUAACUACUGAACUCUAUGUAUCUUACAAUGU